rnacentral:rRNA from 1 species
CCCUUAGAUGUUCUGGGCUGCACGCGCGCUACACUGAUGCGUUCAACGAGUUUAUGACCUUGCCCGAUAGGGUUGGGUAAUCUUUUUAAAUCGCAUCGUGAUGGGGAUAGAUUAUUGCAAUUAUUAAUCUUCAACGAGGAAUUCCUAGUAAGCGCGAGUCAUCAGCUCGUGCUGAUUACGUCCCUGCCCUUUGUACACACCGCCCGUCGCUACUACCGAUUGAACGUUUUAGUGAGGUACUCGGACUGAGCCUCAGAAGAUUCACGUCUUUUGUGCUGCUCGGGAAGAUUCCCAAACUUGAGCGUUUAGAGGAAGUAAAAGUCGUAACA